UGGGGAAUUUUGCGCAAUGGGCUAACGCCUGACGCAGCAACGCCGCGUGGAGGAUGAAGGUCUUUGGAUUGUAAACUCCUGUCGGCAGGGAAAAAGCGACUCGACCUAAUACGUCGGGGAGUUGAUUGUACCUGCGGAGGAAGCCCCGGCUAACUCUGUGCCAGCAGCCGCGGUAAUACAGAGGGGGCAAGCGUUAUUCGGAAUUAUUGGGCGUAAAGGGCGCGUAGGCGGCUUGGCAAGUGGAAGGUGAAAUCCCUCGGCUUAACCGAGGAAUUGCCCUCCAAACUGCUUUGCUUGAGGCCGGGAGAGGCGAGUGGAAUUCCCAGUGUAGCGGUGAAAUGCGUAGAUAUUGGGAGGAACACCAGUGGCGAAGGCGGCUCGCUGGACCGGUUCUGACGCUGAUGCGCGAAAGCGUGGGGAGCAAACGGGAUUAGAUACCCCCGUAGUCC
rnacentral:rRNA from 1 species